AGGAUACUACUCGCAAAACAUUGGAAAACCCAAGAUCUACCCACACUGGAAGAAUGGCAGAUGCAACUGAUAGACUAUAUGCAACUGGCUGAAAUGACUGGCAGAAUCCGUGACCUGGGAGAAGAGAGAAUCGAGGAGGAUUGGAAGAAAUUUAAGAACUAUCUACAAAAACAUUGUGAUUUGACUGAAUGCUGAAUAAGAUGCUGGACUAAAUAACUGAGCACCACUUAACUUAGAAAUUUUUAAGGAAAUAAGAAAAAUUGUGAAAGUUUAACUCUUUAUGAGAACUUUAAGAUUAUGAAAUAUCGAAGAGAUAUAAGAAUUUAAAUAAGAUGAUAAAUUGCUGACAAAAUGUUAUAAUGAUGAAGGUGGGAGUGGGAGAUGUGAGGAAGUCCAAAGAAAAUGUGAAAUUAUGUUAAGACGAAUGCUAUAUUGUUUAUUACAUUUAUUCUUAUUGUAAAACCCAAUAAAUUGCUUUAAAAAAAAAAAGAAAGGCAAACACUUUGCAGAAGCUUUUGAAAGUAAAGGGAAAUAUUCUGGAACAAGGCAAAAAGAUCAACAACACUAGGGUUGUAAACAAAGAGAGGUCAGG